rnacentral:ncRNA from 1 species
UAUUGGUGCAGAUAGGAAACUAGGCUGUAUACCUGUGUAGUCGAACUUACGUUUAAGCGACAUGUAAUGUUGCCGACCAUGGGGGCCACAGAAGUGGCUUUUUUUAUGA